GGGAACGUACCUUUUGCUUCGGAAUAGCCUCGGGAAACUGGGAGUAAUACCGAAUGUGCUCUUCGGAGGAAAGAUUUAUCGGCAAAAGAUCGGCCCGCGUUGGAUUAGCUAGUUGGUGAGGUAAUGGCUCACCAAGGCGACGAUCCAUAGCUGGUUUGAGAGGAUGACCAGCCACACUGGGACUGAGACACGGCCCAGACUCCUACGGGAGGCAGCAGUGGGGAAUCUUAGACAAUGGGCGCAAGCCUGAUCUAGCCAUGCCGCGUGAGCGAUGAAGGCCUUAGGGUUGUAAAGCUCUUUCGCUGGGGAAGAUAAUGACUGUACCCAGUAAAGAAGCCCCGGCUAACUCCGUGCCAGCAGCCGCGGUAAUACGGAGGGGGCUAGCGUUAUUCGGAAUUACUGGGCGUAAAGCGCACGUAGGCGGACCAGAAAGUUAGGGGUGAAAUCCCGGGGCUCAACCUCGGAACUGCCUCUAAAACUCCUGGUCUUGAGUUCGAGAGAGGUGAGUGGAAUUCCGAGU
rnacentral:rRNA from 1 species